rnacentral:sRNA from 1 species
UCCGAGAAACACUUGGGCCACAGAUGUGCC